rnacentral:rRNA from 1 species
UACGUAAGUGGCAAGCGUUGUCCGGAUUUAUUGGGUUUAAAGGGUGCGUAGGCGGUCUAUUAAGUCAGUGGUGAAAUACUCCAGCUUAACUGGAGGGGUGCCAUUGAUACUGAUGGACUUGAGUCAAGUCGAGGUAGGCGGAACUGACGGUGUAGCGGUGAAAUGCUUAGAUAUCGUCAAGAACACCAAUAGUGAAGACAGCUUACUGGGCUUAAACUGACGCUGAGGCACGAAAGUGUGGGGAUCAAACAGG